GACGAACGCUGGCGGCGUGCUUAACACAUGCAAGUCGAACGGAAAGGCCCUGCUUUUGUGUGUUGCUCGAGUGGCGAACGGGUGAGUAACACGUGAGUAUCCUGCCCUUGACUUUGGGAUAACUUCAGGGAACUGGGGCUAUUAUCGGAUAGGAGCUCCUGCUGCAUGGUGGGGGUUGGAAAGUGUCGGCUGUUGGGGAUGGAUUCGAGGGUUAUGAGCUGCUUGGUGUGGUAGUGGCUUACGAAGGCUUUGACGGGUAGCCGGCAUGGGAGGGUGGACGGCGACAUUGCGACUACGAUACGGACCAGACGCCUACGGGCGGCAGUAGUGGGGAAUAUUGCACAACGGCGGGAAGCCUGAUGUAGAAACGUCGCGUGCGGAAUGACGGCCUUCGGGUGGUAAACAGAUUUGGACUGUGCCGAAGAGUGCGUGACGGUAAUGGGUAAAGAAGCACCGGCUAACUACGUG
rnacentral:rRNA from 1 species